CCUUCCCUUCUCAUUGCCUUGUGGGGAUUUCCACUGUUUACAAGUAAUUGGUGCAGUGAACAUGUUCUGCUUACGUCUAUUUAAAAUGUCUGUAUCAUAGAGAAAAAAGAAAAGUUCAGUACAUUUGAACAUUUGGAGGCACUGGGGGUAUCACAGUAGUAGUGGUCAUAAUAGAGAAGUUAUUUAGACUCUUGUGUGCUGCCCUGCUACCACAUGAAGGGAACUAAGACUAUUAUUCUUCAUUGUAAUAUUUAAUAUGUGCCCAUUCCAGAAUCAACAAAAGGAAAAAAAAAGUUGCAUCUGAAAAUAUUAAAAUCCAAAUUUUGGCAGCAAAUUUUCAGUUGAGACAAUCAAUUCGGUCCCAGUAAAGGCAGUAGCAAAAGGUCAAAACAAAAUCAUUAAAGAAGUUUCUAAAGCUUCUAGAAGCCUCAUUAAAAACCAUAUCCUGUUAAAAGUAUGAAAACCCUGGAGAGUCAGGUGAGAGAGCAUGAAGCAUGUGUGUUGGGAGUAUUCCCAUUAGCAAGAAAAUGGGAGACCUCCCUGGGUUUAGAGAGAACUUAAUUCCAAAGCUUCUUAACGCGCAGCAAAACAGACAGGCAGGAAAUGCCCUACAGAAGCUUUCAUUUACAGAAGUGGCAAUGUUAUCGUAAUGAUUUUGUUGAAGAUUAAAGCAAACAAGAUUUUUAGGUAUCUGUAACGGUAGAACAAUUGUAUCAGUGACCCAAACUUUCUCCUUCCUUGGAUAAGAGGAAAUCAGCAUCAAAACAACACUUUCUUUCUACCUCAGCCCUGCUUGUAAGUUUUCAUACCUUGAUAAAUGAGACUUCUAAAUAAGGUCUAUGCUACUGUUCAAGAGGGCAUUGACCUCCAUGUGAGCAGCAGAAAUAAUGAAAACAAGAGCCACAAUUCAUUGAGGACCUACUAAGACUGCAUUGAUUUUUCCAUCUUGUGAAUUACCUAAUUGCUUACUAUUUUAAAAUAUGUAAGCAUUAAGUGUGGUAGGUAGGAAUCAAGGAAGUUGCAGUUAAAUCAUUUUCUUGCAGCCACAUAUUGAAGCGUUUGGAUCGGCAGCAGGCAGCUUUGGAAGACGUGAGCUGGACAUUUCCAAGAUCAUUGUCAGUCAGCCCUUCUUGGGCACCACUGGCUUCUGAAGAGGACUCUGGAGCACUGUCCUCCUGCCUGCUGUAUGCAGCUGGCAUUCAGUGGAUGUCUUAUGGCCAUUCAGUGCUUCCACCACCCAUUUCCCAUUUGGCCUCAAACACUCUUCUACUGCUGCUGGGAAGGCAAUAUUAGCCAGGAUGGUCAUCUGGAGCCAUCAGCUUAACCAUAGCCAGUGGGGGGUUAAAAAGAAUCUAUCAGUAUUGUUUUUUCUUGAACAUUUUAAUUCUCUGAAUUGAAUCCAAGAGGGACUAGGUCAUAUCAAACAGGCUGUGGGUUUCAGCUGUGGUCUGAGAGUGCCUGCCCUUGUGUUGACCUUCCUAUUUCAGAGAGGUCUGGAGACUGUGGCACCUCGGCAGAGUCAUGCCAUCUAUUCAGCAGCAGGGAAUACCACUGCUUAUCCACAGAAGCACCCCCAAUCUCCUGUAAAAAAUAACCUUUAAGGAUUCAGGCUUUGUUCUUUACUUGUCUAUAUCAGGUCUUCUUAACCUGGGAAUUCAGAAACCCUCCCUCUAAUUCCCUCAAAAGUGUGGGCCACCUUUCAGAAAAGUACUGAUAUUUUACUAACAGGGAUUUUGAGGAAAGUAUUGAUAUUUCAGUAACAGGGAUUUUGCUUUCCUCAUAAUCUCAAAGACGUGAACAAAUGAAAACCAUGAAAGAGAUUACCAGGAGAUUAGGGUUGUGAUCUAGCAUUAUUUGUAAUUUUACAGAAUUAUCGUGUAUGACAGCAGGAAGAGCCAGCAAGCUCAUCUAUUAAUAUAAAGUUGUUUCUUUCAUUUCGUAUUCAAGGAAACUUAAGUACAGUGAGGUUAAGUGAUUCCCCUGAAUCCUGACCAUGAGCAAAAUGCCUGGGUUCCAGACCCACUAGCUCAUAGUUCGAAGGGCUUUUCAUUUGCUAAUAUGCCUCUACUUUUUACAAAUUUCCAACCAUUCAUUAUAAAUAUUUAUUUCAAAUGUGUGUUUGUCAGAAAGAAAUGUACCUACUGAAAAUAUCAUAAAUAGUUUCUUCUGUACUAUCUCAAAUUUUCUUGCCCUAUUAGCCACACAAUUCCAUUUCUAGUUUUCUUCGCGUUCUUCUCUGUUUGUUUUUGUAAGUGGACACCAUGGCUGGCUGUAGACUUCCUUGAUUUUUCCACAGUUUGCUUCCCAAGCUUUAGAUUGUCCUUUCUUUUUACACACUAGUGUGCUGUCUAAUUUGCAUACUGAAAUGAAACCUUUAUAUAAAACACCUUAAAAGUUCUAGUAUUUCUUCUUUAUUUCUGACUUUUAUUUUUGGAAUACAUUAACUCUAAUUUGAAAUCUUAUUUUAAGGCCAGACAUUCUAACUGAAACGUUCCUUAAGAAAGACUUCUAAUUACUAUGUUAUUGUAUGACACCUUGCCUGGGUAAGAGGAAAGAAAAGAAAAAAAUAAGGACAAACCUGUUAAAGAUAAAGAAAGCAGAUGUGUAUAAAGAAUUAGGUUCAUUCGACACUGAUAUUUCUGAAGAAAACUUUAAAAAUAUUGUAAGUAAAAUAAAAUCAGGAGAAAAUGAAAUCUUUACAGAAAAUAAAGAUAAGGCAACAGGUUUUGAUACACUUCUACCCGGGUUAAAAAAGUAAUUCAUAAACUGUCUUAUCUAAUUAAGACGAUCUAAAAGGGUACACUAUGUGUCAAAGAGACAGAGCGUCUUAAUUACAAAAGGUUAAUAUCACAGUCAGAGUCAAGAAAUAGGUGGAAAGAUCACUCUAAUAAAUACUACCUGGAAAUUCACCCAAAGGCAGCAGAUACAGAAAGUCUACAUUGUAGAUUUUUCACCAGUAUAUGACGAAAAUUUGGUUACUAUAACGGCCCUAAAUACAGAGGUAACCAAUUCGUGCUCAGAGCAUGAUGCUGGGGAUAAGAUCACCCUAAUAUGUGGAAAGACAUAUCAAGACAAUUAUGAUGACUAUAUGGACAAAAGAAGGUCAUAAAUAAGGUCAAAUGUUCUAAAAGAAGCCAAAGGAGCAAUGUAAGAAUUCUGAAUUUUAU
rnacentral:lncRNA from 1 species